UCCGAGUUGACCCCGGCAGUCUCUUAUGAGUCCCCGCCAUUACGCGCUGGCAACAUAAGACAAGGGUUGCGCUCGUUGCGGGACUUAACCCAACAUCUCACGACACGAGCUGACGACAACCAUGCACCACCUGUGCACAGACCUUGCGGGGAGCCCAUCUCUGGACUUUUCCUGUGCAUGUCAAGCCUUGGUAAGGUUCUUCGCGUUGCAUCGAAUUAAUCCGCAUGCUCCGCCGCUUGUGCGGGCCCCCGUCAAUUCCUUUGAGUUUUAGCCUUGCGGCCGUACUCCCCAGGCGGGGCGCUUAAUGCGUUAGCUGCGGCACGGAGGUCGUGGAAGGACCCCCACACCUAGCGCCCAACGUUUACGGCGUGGACUAC
rnacentral:misc_RNA from 1 species